UACGUAGGGAGCAAGCGUUGUCCGGAAUCAUUGGGCGUAAAGCGCGCGUAGGCGGCCUCAUAAGUCCGUUGUGAAAGUCAAAGGCUCAACCUUUGAAAGCCGAUGGAUACUGUGAGGCUAGAGUCCGGAAGAGGCGAGUGGAAUUCCUGGUGUAGCGGUGAAAUGCGCAGAUAUCAGGAGGAACACCGGUGGCGAAGGCGGGUCUCUGGGCCGAUACUGACGCUGAGGAGCGAAGGCCAGGGGAGCAAACGGG
rnacentral:rRNA from 1 species